UGGGGUUAUUCCGUGGCUCCCGUUGGAAAUCCCUGUCUGCAGACCAGAGCAACCGAUAGCGUUGCUGCCGGCAGUGCAGCGCUGGUGCAGCGUCCUGGCUCCGCGCAGCCUCUCUGGAAAGUAUUAAAAGUUGGAGGCACAUGUUUCGCAGGCCAAACGCAGGCCCUUUCCCAUAGAAGGGAAAACUCCCACUGAAGCGUGACCGCUGUGCUUGGCCGUGGCCGCUCCGCCACRACGGCCUGGUCCUCCUGCCUCCGGCCAGCUCGCGUGUGCCGGACACAGCUGGCGACCGCCGGGCUUGGCUGCUGCGGCCACGCAAGGUGGGAAGCRGCUCAGUCAGCUCAGGCAUCAUCUCUGCACCCUGAGCAGGGCGAGCGGCGCUCCGGCUGGGAGGGGAGGGAGGAGGAGGAGGGCAGCCAGCGCGGCGGCUCGAGCAUCCCCCUCGCUGCCCCCCCUGCCGCAGGAGCCGGGUUGCCCCGGGGAGCCCAGCAGCCUCUGCCCCAGCGGCUCCUCGCCCACCAUGCUGGAUAUUUUCAUCCUGAUGUUCUUCGCCAUCAUCGGCCUGGUGAUUCUCUCCUACAUCAUCUACAUGCUGUAGCGCGAUGCUGGGGAGGACGCGGCUCCGCAGCGGCCCGUCACUCCGGGCAUCGUCCAGCAGCAGCCGCCGCCUGGUCCGUCUCUCCUGGAGCCUUCUGGAAAAGCGUUAACCCGUUGGAGCCGACGUCUCUCCCAGCCGGAGACUGGGGACACCCAGGACGAGCAGCUCCGGGCGGGCGCCAGUGCCAGGCGCGAUGCGCUGGUGGCGGGGGCUGAGCCGGGGCGGCGGCGGGGUGACGGGGCCGGGAAAGCGCUGGGCAGCGACGUCCCGCGGCCGAGCUGCUCCCCAGGACGCGCAGGCUGCUCCACCGGGGACGUAGCGGGUCCUGCCCCAGCCACGUGCGYUAGCCCCUUGGGAUAAGCACUUCCGAGGUUGCGUUGUUUGGUUUUAACUUUAGAAAGCACUUAUAUUUUUAAUGCAAACUGUCCGAGGAAAGGGAAUAAAAAGAGGGAUGACACCA
rnacentral:lncRNA from 1 species